rnacentral:lncRNA from 1 species
UUUAUUUCGGAGCAUAUGAUACAAUCAAGUAACUUAAGUACAAAGAUGAUUAAGCUUGGCAAACAAGGAUAUGUCAUGUUUCUCAAUCCGAGAGAUAAGAAGCACAGAGCCAAAGGCCCUGCAAAAAGGCAGGGGAGAACUGAAUUGUUGUUUCCUAAAACUUUGCAUUAAGAUCAACAUGACUUUCUAGUCAUUAAAUAUUCUGCUAGAUUUCGAACUUGCAAAUAUGGUCUGUUUUAAUGAAAUUGCAGAAUGUUGUCUCACGUCUCAAGAACUUUGAUUUCACUUCUUUUUCAAGGAAAAAAAAAUGGUUUCACUUAGUUUGCAGAAGUGUCCUGAACUCAAUUUUCAGACAAAAGUAUGGUUCAAGACUCCUUGGUGAGUGAAAGUAAUUCUUCAUCAUAUUUAUUCCUUUAUUUUUCUUUUUGGAUAUCAUUGUAUUUAUUCUUGUGCAAGGACAAGUACAUGCAUACUCAAACCUUGCAAUUGCCCAGCAUACAGAACUGAGCCAACAGAUGAAACCCGUGGUCAAAUAGGCAAGAAAGACUAAGUCUGACAUCUGGGAAAUGCGCGGACAUGAAGGCCCCCAUCUACAUGAAGAGUGAUCAUCGUCCUGUAGGUGACAGAUUUAUUCUCAUCACUCAGUUUGAACACAAAGUAGUGCACAAGAACAGCCGAGAAGAUCUUCAUCUGCCUAUAAGCAAAUUCCUUGCCUAAACAAAUUCGAGGCCCUGCCUGUAAACCAUUAGAAAAUAAAGUUCAGUAUGUUCACAUCUUUAGCCGGUGAAAUCACACUUGUGAAACAAUAUGAGAAGUUUGAACUUUCGGAAAAAGACCCAGAACCAGAAAUCAAAUGCCGUUAUACUGAUUUUUUACCCUUUUUUCCUAUUUGAGGUUUUAUUUUACACCAAGUGCCAAUCAGAAUAAUAAUGCUUUGGCCGAUCUGGAAACGAAGCGUACAAGAAUUUCUAAUUUGUAGUAUGUUCUGCACACCUGGAAUGCUGUAAACUUAAAAGGGCUUUCUGGUUGGAACAUCCCAUCCUCAUCAAGCCAUCUCUCUGGUCUGAACUCCUCUGCAUCAUCACCCCAUAUGAAUUUCAUUCUGCCCAUUGCAUAAGGUUGAUAACAAACCAUAUCUCCUUUCCUCACACUGAACCCAUCUGGAAGAGUAUCAUCAGAAAAGCAUAUCUUUGGAUCCUGCAAUCAAAGUGAAGAGGUAGUGAGAACCAAAGAAAACCCCAGAACAUAGAAAGGAAGCUAAUUUCUAGCCUUCCCGAUACGCCUUGAAUGGAUAUCAGUUUAUAGAUGCAUGUUCUUUGAUGUGCAUUAACAAGUUCAGUUGGAGGAUUCAAGAUUCAAGGCAACUUUGCUUACAACUGGAACAGCGGGGUAGAGCCUUAAUGUUUCAGUUAAGGCUGCAUGGAGAUAGUGCAUUUUUCCUAGAGCUUCUUCGCUCAAGAUAGCAGCAAAUUCAGCAAAAUCUUUAACCUCCAUCGUGUCAGUUGCUUCCUUCACUUCUUGUGCAACCUUUUCUUGAACAUCAGGAUGCUUGCAGAGCAUGUAAAUAAACCACGACAGAGUAGCUGCUGUUGUGUCUUUCCCAGCAAUUAUGAAGUUAAGGAUUAUAUCUCGCACGUAUGUUGGGUCAGUGUCAUUCAAUUGCAGAAAUCUGGAUAAAAUGUCUUCCUUUUUCAUCUGCACAAUCCGUAGAAUACAAUUAUUUCAAAAUUCUACAUAGAAACCGUUAAUUAUAAGUAGCUCUAUUCUUCUAGUUCACUCACAGAAGAAUCGUUCGAGUUACGCAUCUGCUCAAUCUUGUUGUGGAUCAGCUUAUACACAAAAUUAUCAACCACUUUUGUACUUUUCUUUAGUUUUGCUUCUGAUCCAAUAUUUAAAAAUCUCUUGAUCUUCCAGAAGAUAUCAACAUAUCGGAAGAGGAUUGCUGCGCUUGAAUCAUCAAAAGCAGCUGUAAACUCUUUGCCUUCUAAAUUUGAUCCACACACGCUGUCUAGUUCAACUCCAAAUCCAACUUUGAAUAUCGAAUCUAAAGUCGAUUUCAUAAACAAGUCCUGCACAACAUUUCGCUAUAACAGGUUCAUAUUAUAUAUCACUCCGUCAUGGAUCUUGCCAUUAGGUGAACUUACCUGAAUAUCCAUUAUCUUGUUGGACUUCGCUGCGUCAGACACUAUAUUUGCAAGCUUUGCUGCAUUUUUCCGAAAGACUACAGUGCUGAAAUCCCUCAACACCUUCGUUGAGAAUUCAUAGCUUGACACUUUCCUCUGUUGACGCCACUUAUCACCAUCGACUGCGAAAAUCCCAUCACCUAGUAAACCCUUUAGCAAGCUGUAAUUGUACUCACCCUGCACAGAAAAUUAGACAAAUUGAAAAACCAAAACGACCCCACCAUUCUGCCGUAGCCAUAUAAUUAUCAAAAACUCUUUCGUUAUAGCAAAUAACCCUGCAGCACAUUAGCAUUUGUAGUUGACUUAAUUGUGACUAUAGAUUGAGACACUCUUUCAUAUUCUAAUUCUGGGUGUUACUGUCUAAGCUACUUCUUCCAACCAAUGACAGGGGGAGUUCAAAAUUUUCUAGACCAACAAAUUACCUUGCCAUAAUUCUGGAAAUUUGUUUUGAGAAUAUAUUCAACGUUGUCUGGUUCCGAGGUAUAAACCUCACUCCUGAAAGGGCUAAGCAGCCUGUAGUUCCUGUACUUCCCAGCAAGAUCAGUCAUAUAGUGAUGCACUCUUUUGAAGUUGAGGAGCUGGUUAAAAAGUGUUCCGCCAACAGGAUGGUACUUGGUCUUGUUUUUUUUCUGCUUUUCUCUUAGUUUUGCUGCGAGGAACUUGACAGUGAAAAGGAUCAGGAUUAGAUUUAGAAACAAAGCGACCAAUGUAGCUGGGUUAGACAGAUCCAUGGAGAUGGAGGUCCUUUUUGGGUAAGCUGGUCGAUCAAUGUUAGCGGGUGAAGACUGAAGAAAACUAGAGGUCUUUUUAUAAUACUAAUAAUAUCAACGGGGAGAAAUCCUUUUGCUAAGUCAUUUCUCUUAACCAGACGUGUGACUAUAUUCGGACAAUCCGCAAACGUGUUUCUCUUAAAUUUUACGUGCACAUUGCUGAGAGUCCAACCAUGAGAGAGAUAUGCACCGACUUUCCUUCGUUGUCUCCUUUUUCGUUUUUAAAUUGUUAUAAGUUAUUAACUAAUUUCACCACAACCAAUUAACAAAACAAAGGGCAGGACUAGGUUUUUUUUUACUCAGUCAAUAUAACUAUUUAGAGAAAAUUGUGAAAAAUAACUCAUAAGGUGAUUUCAAAAAUAAUUAUCCAUAUAAUGUUAUCUGUUUUUACCAAAAAACAAACAUGAGUAAACCAAAAUGCUCUCAGAAACAUCCUGGCAAAUCAAUCUCCUAAUAUCUCUCUCGCUGUAAAGAAAAUAAAUACUCAGUUAUUUCAGCUCGCUCAACUCUUUCAGCUCUCUAAAUUAUAUCAGCUUUGUCAACUCUCUGUUAAGUACCAUCGUCAUCAACUCUCUUAGCUAUUUGAACUGUAUCAUCUAUAUGUACUUAUUAAAGAUAUAAAUUAAAGAAUAUAAAAGAAAACGAAGUAAAUGAAUAAUUGAAAAGACAAGUCGAGCCACUAAUUACUACAAUGAUCACUGUCUGAUCACGACAGCUAAAGCCACUGCAAUUGCUCGGCCAAUAAAGUUGACAAACUUUGUUGAAAUAGGACUUGCAUUGAAAAUCACGUCAGUUCAUACUAUCUUAGGAUCAUAUGUGACCAUUUUGUAUAAGCUAGCUUUCUUUCAAAUUAUGAUAACUAUGCAUUUAAUGAAUGAUUUAUAUGAUGAUUAGUAUGCAUUCUUAGGCCUAGCUACUGUUCAAAACUUAGUUGUUAAGUUUUGUUAUGUAUAUAAACUAAGUCAAUGCAUAUCAGAAAUAUGAAACCUACUGUUACAACAAAAACUGUCUUUACUUGCUCUGUUUCAUACUUAUCCUACAUCAACUAAAACACAACAAAACUUACUAAAUAAAGCAAUCUAUAUACCAACAAUGUCUUGGAAUUUAGCAAGUUUUAGUUUGUCCUCUUGGAAUGACAUAGAGGUCGAGGCCAUGCUGGAGGGUGAAGCCACAACAUGGUCCUAUCGUCUGCCAAGUUGAAGCGAAAGUAGUGAAUAAGGGAACUUUGUUGAGAUUUUCUUUAUCUGCUCAGAAGAAAUUAAGAAAAAAUUAUAUGGUGUAGAUACUUGAUUUUGAUUUUGAUUGUUAACAUAUUUCUUCAAUAUAAAGUAAAAUUAAUUUAUAAAACGUUGUAUUACUAUGUAAGAAGUAGUGUAGAUAAUUUAUAAUAAGUAGAAAAAUCACGUCAUUGUAUAAACUAGUGAAAAUAUCUUCGAAAUAAAUGAUGAGAUUUUUAAAUUAAUUUUUUUAAAAUGUUUUGAAGAGUUUGAUUUGAUAACUUAAAUACAUAAAUGAAAAUUUUCUAAAUACGUAUGCAUAAAAUCCACUAUCACCAUCAAUGACCUAAACAUUCAUAAGGCUUUAAUGCCUCAACAGUUGACAUUUUCUCAUUGGUAUGAAUAAAUUUCAUUAAUUACAAGAUUACUCAAUUCCAUAACCCUUCAAGAUAUUUUCUCAUUGAUUGUGUUCGAUUUGAUAAGGAUGUUAAUUUUUUUUUUUGAAUUACAAAUAUUUUUCAUUUUUUUAAAUAAUUAAGUGACGCACUUCUAAUGCCUCAGUAGCUGACAUUAAUUAUCCAUUGGUUGCAUUCACUUUGAUUCGGAGCUAAUUAACAACCGAAAAGUUGGCCGAUGUUUGCCGACUUGGAUUUAAUGGUCAUAUGAGUUGGUGUAACAAUGUGAUACCAAAAAGGUAGUAAUCAAUACAAAUUUUGAGUAGGAAGAGUACUGCAUUCAAAUGAAAUCAAGAAGAAGAUUGUGGAGAAAACUCUCAUUUAAUGGAAGAACAUGACUGCCAAAUACGAGUACCUAAACAUGGUUUGGCAAUUGCCAUCAUCCUAUGCAUCCCUAGGUUACUUAACUGAUUGAUGUAAUUCAUUGAAUAAAAUGGUUAGUUGUUAUUAUCAUGUCAUGUCAUCGUCAUGAUAUUUCUUCCUCUUUUGUGAGUAAUGAGAUUUUUGAAGGAUGGAGAUGACUCUACCUAAAUUCUUAGAUUUUUUUGUUGCUUAUUUUCAUUGUAUUUUGAGUUUUUGACUGUGUCUAACUGUUUAUCUUUUGCAAAGCCAUUUUUUCACCUUAAUUUCAACCCAGCAUCUGUGUGUUGUCCGAUGGGUUAGAAAAUGGGCAAGUUUGAUUGGUGGUUGAUUCCUUUUCUUCAGCAUUUUGGUAACUUGGGCCUAUAAAAUUUAUUUAUAGUAGACAAAAAAAAACUUUUAUUAAAAAAUAUUAUAGUAAAUAUUUGUUUCUUUUCGGAUAAUUGACUUUUAUUUAGCUAAGGAAUAUUUUAUUUGAAAUAUGUCCCAUAUAUACCACUGAAAAUCCAAGGCUUUUUAUGGUUAUUCAUUCUUAAUGGCAUUUCUACUAAAUGCUUUCUAAGAAUCAGAACGCAUGGUGUAUGUCCUACAAUACAAAUGGUGAUAACCUUUGUUUUUGGUGUUACAGCCAUGGAGGAAAAGAGUGAUGAUAUUUUAUUUUCUUGUCACUUCAUACGGUCCAUGGAGGAAAUGUGGAUAGAUCGAAGAUAAGUAAAUCAAGAUUCACAGACUGUGAAAGCGUAUUAAAAGAUGAGAACUUUUUGACUUGGAUUUUUUUUAAUAAAAGUUCUUUGCUUGGAUUUUUUUUUAGUAAAAAUUCUUUGCUUGGAUUUAAGAGAUGAGAUUCAAAGAACUUUUAAGAGAUGCAGCAAACAACCUCAAAAUCCAAGCUCUUUGCUUGUAAGCUUCCUAGCCACUUGUAAACAGAAAAUACGGCUUCUAUGGAGUCCCAAUCUCGGGAAAUGGUCAGGGCAUAUAGACCAGAUGACUCGAAUUGUACAUAUAUUUUUUUCUUUUUUGGUGAAAUAACUCAAAUUCCAUUGAUCAACACAUUUACAGAAAAAAGCAAAUCAACACUAUAGAAAAAUGCAAAUCGGGGCUCUUAUGUACAACCAGCAAGGUUGAAGACUUGAAGUUGAACAAAUUGAUGACUUUGCACAGGAGGAUAUUUGGAAAUUCAUCAACUUGUCCUUGGAACAGCAUAAAGAUGGAGGCCCCCCUUCAUAUGAAGUGUGAACAUUGUCCUGUAAGUUGCAAUUUUCGUAUAAUCAACUAAUUUAAAGCGGAAGAAGCGAAGAAGGGCAAUUGAGACUAUCUUCAUCUACCGGUGAGCAAAAUCCUUGCCUAAGCAAGUUCGAGGACCCGCCUGAAACAUAAUGCAGCAGCUGGAAAAGAUUAAGAUCGUUUGACAACUAUAUAGGCACAUGCAUGUUAUACACAUGGUAGAAAUGGAACAAAGAAUACUAACAUGAAAUGCUAUGAAUUUGAAAGGGGAUUCGGACUGGAAAACUCCAUUGUUAAGCCAUCUUUCUGGUCGAAAAGUGUCGGCAUCUUCUCCCCAAAUGUCAGGCAUUCUACGCAUGGCGUAGGCCAUGUAAUACACCCCGUCUCCUUUCUUGAGUUUGUAGCCAUCGGGGAGAAUGUCAUCCUGCUCUGCAUUCCUUCCAUCCUUGAAGCACAAAGUGAGAACCAUAUCAUAUUCCAGCUGUCGAAAUGCUAAGACUGCAAGAAAAUCUAUGAGUGUCUCAGGCACCUUACAAUGGCGACAGCAGGGUACAGCCUUAAGGUCUCUGUUAUGGCUGCAUGAAGAUAGUGCAUUUGCUCUAGGGUUGAAUCAGUUAUGGUUGUCACGAAAUCAUCAACAUUAUUAGCACCAUUUCUUUUACUACUAGUGACGUCCACCACUUCUUGUGCAAGUUUUUCUUGUAUCAAAGGGUUCUUGCAGAGCAUGUAGAAGAACCAGGACAGAGUAUUCGCAGAAGAAUCUUUGCCAGCGAGUACGAAGUUCAGGAUUAUAUCCCUUAAAUAUUUGUCAUUCAUUGUGUCUGGAUUCUUCUCGCUUUCCACUAAAAAUCUUGAAAGUAUGUCUUCUUUCACAUUCUUGAAGCCAUAAAAAGAAAUAAGAAAAAACAAACCAAUUAUUAGUAAAGUAUAAAUUUCCACGCCAAAAACCAGAUUACCUUAAGCAGUGAGAUUGAAUUCAACAGUGUUCUUGUGACUCUCAAGUCCCACCAUAUUUGUUAGACCAAGAUUGACUAUAAGAAAUUCUUGCAGCAAAAUAUAUAUGGCUCACCAAAUCUCGUUCCAUGCCCAGCAGUUUCCUCUUGGAGCUAAUGACAUCGUGAACAAAGUAUCAACGACUUUGAUAUUCUUUCUGAGGGCAGCUUCAGAGCCAAUGUUAAGAGACCGUUUCAGCUUCCAGAAAGGGUCAACAAAGCGCCUCUCAUUUGAAUCAUCAAAAGCCUUCAUAAAAGUAGUCCCUUCCUUACUUGACCCAUCCAUGCAGUUUAAAUCUAUGCCAAACCCAACUUUGAAUAUGGAAUCUAGAGUGCAUGUCAUUAAUAGAUUCUACAAAUUAAAGUAAACACAGCAUGAAAAACUGAAAAAGGGAAAAUUAGACAAGCAUAAUUGUGAGCAUCUUUAAAGUUUUGGGUUAAUUUGAGGGUCAGAUUUCUCACUUGCAUGUCAAAAGCUUGACCCGACACUUCCAGCUUCGAAAUAACUCCAACCAGUUUGGCAGCGUUCCUUCUGAAAACAGAGCAGCUAAAAUAUUUAAGAACUCUCGUCGAGAACUCGAAGCUUGCCAGCUUCCGCUGCUUCCGCCACUUGUCUCCGUCCACCGCAAAGAUCCCUUGUCCAAAAAGAUCUAUCAGAAUUUCUUGGUUUUGUUUACCCUUACAGUAUCUGUCGAACUUUGUUUUCAAUAUGUACUCUACAUUUCGCGUAUCGACGGUGUAUACUACGCUUAGCCCUAAAGCGAGUUGCCUGUAAGUGGGCUGUUUUUUGGCCGCUUGGGUUUGGUAGUCGUAGAGAUAGUUGAAAUAAAACAACUGGUUGAAAACGCUGCCCUUCACCGGUGGGUUGUCAGGAUUUCCGAUGGAUUUUCCGGUGAAGAUUUUGAUUGUGAGAAAAGAGAAGAUCAGGAAGAGAAUGAGUGGUGGUAAUGACAUCAACAAGAAGAUGGUAGAGAGAAUAUCCAUUUUUCCUUUUUCUAAUGAAUACUCGGAAAGGUUAUAGGCCAUAUAUGCAGAUUCUUGCAUUGGGUUGCAUUCAUUUUUCAACCUACCAACAAAAUCAAACCGUUUUCAUCACCAAUAUCUUUCUCAACAACAAAAUCAUUUGUUUAAUAAUUAUAAUGUUUACACGUGUACGAUUGCCAUUUCAUCAAUUUGAUUUUUCUUGUAAAUUAAGUUGAUGCCACCAUAUCUCAUACUUCAAAAAUUUUAGAGGAUUGUACGGAUAAUCAUAAAUUUAUAAUCAUAAUUAUAAUCUAUUUAACUUCUAAAGUGAAUUAACAUAUAUAACUUUAAUCAAGUAAGCAUGAAAAAAGUGUAUCAUUUAAGUUUGGGUCUUGUUUACGAAUAUUCUAAGAGUUUUUUUAUCGUUAAUUAAAAUAUUAUAAUAAUAUUUUUCUUUUAAAUGUCGUAAUUGACUGGUAGUGCGAUGAUUUUCAAUAUAUCUAAAAUGAUAUUACUCAAUAUAAUAACUUUAAAUAAUAUCAUUAUAACAAUAGUUAGUAAAAGUCAUAAUAUUCAAAAAAGCUUUUAAAUUAUUCAAAAAAUUUAAAAUAAAUCUUACUUUUAUUAUAUUCAAUUAUAUUUUUAUAUUUUUAUUUUAGAUCAAAUAAAUCUUUUAUUUUUAUUUUGAAUCAAAUAAAUCUUUAUAAAUAAUAAUUGACUUAGUUAAAAUGUUAUUUGUCAUUAUAUAUUACGUGACGCUGAUGUAGUAUACUAACAUAUCAUAAUUAAUGAUGAUGUGAUAUGUUGAUUUAUCAUAUUUGAUAAUGAUAUGACAUGCUAGUUUAACCUAAUAACAUGAUGACAUUUUUCAAUCUCUACAUUAAUAUCAUAUUAGUGCCACGUGGAUAUAAAAUGAUAAAAUAUAUUUUGACUAAUGAAAAUUAGUCAAUUAUUAUUAAUAAAAGCUUAUUUGAUCUAAAAUAAAAAUAUAGAGACUUGAUUAAGCGUAACAAAAGAAUAAAAAUUUAUUCGAAUUUUGUUAAAUAGUUUCAGAGCUUAUUUGAGAAAUAUGUGUUAGUAAAACCAUUUAUAUUUAAAUUUUUAUUUUAUUUUUUGAAAAGUAAUUUGUCAUAAACGGAAUAAUGACAUGGCUAUAGAUUAAGCUAGGCUAUAAACUUAUUUCAGCCUUAAAUGAUUAACAAUGAAUAAGGUGCGUCCCCUCUCAAGAAACCCCUAUACAAUAGUUAGGAUAAACCCUUAAAGGAUGGACCUCAGGACCGGGGGCAGCUCAAGUACCUCUUGUGACGACAUGAUAUUCAUUGAAGACUAUUUGGACUUCAAGCGUGUUCAUCCAUUGACAUUGGCAAUUAGUUUCUGCUGGCAUGAACCGUAUGGCGACCACUUGUAUGAUUGUGAUAUAUCAUGCUGUUGAGUGCGAGCUCAACUUUGUUGAAGUACAUUGGUGUCCUUGGUUUUGUUGAAUUCUGACAAUAGACAUCCCAUACCCAAUUCAUAGCAUACAUAUGGCUUUUAUCUUUGUUUAAAUUGAAUUAAGAACAUCCGGAUUCAUUUCAUACUCAUAAGAUCUUAAGAUGAUCAAGAUUUGCACUUAACGGAAGCAAAACUGGCCUGAACUCAAUAUUCAGACAAAAGUAUGGUUCUAGACUCUUUGGUCAGUGAAAGCAACCAUCCAUCAUAUCGAUUCCUUUCGUCCUUUUUGCUUGGUGACAUCAUCCGAUUUACUCAUGUGCAAGGAAAGAUACAAGUAUAUUAACAGUGUGCAUUUGCCUAGUAUAAAGAACUGAGCCACCAGAUGAAACCCUUGGUCAAAUAAGCUAGAAAGACCAAAGUUAAGUCUGACAUCUGUGAAGUGCGCGGACAUGAAGGCCCCCAUCUACAUGAAGAUUGAUCAUCGUCCUGUAGGUGACACAUUUAUUCUCAUCACUCAGUUUGAACGCAAAGCAGUGCACCAGAACAGCUGAGAAGAUCUUCAUCUGCCUAUAAGCAAAUUCCUUGCCUAAACAAAUUCGAGGCCCUGCCUGUAAACCAUUAGAAAAUAAAGUUCAGUAUCUUCACAUCUUUAGCCGGUAAAAUCACACUUGUGAAACAAUAUGAGAGGUUUGAACUUUCAGAAAAAGACUCAGAACCAGAAUCAAAUGCUGUUAUGCUGCUUUUUUACCAUUUUUUUUCUAUUUGAGGUCUUUUUUUACACCAAGUGCCAAUCAGAAUAAAAAUGCUUUGCCCGAUCUGCAAAAGAAGCAUACAACAAUUUCUAAUUUGCAACAUGUUCUGCAUACCUGGAAUGCUGUAAACUUAAAAGGGCUUUCUGGUUGGAACAUCCCCUCCUCAUCAAGGCAUCUCUCUGGUCUGAACUCCUCUGCAUCAUCACCCCAAAUGAAUUUCAUUCUGCCCAUUGCAUAAGGUUCAUAACAAACCAUAUCUCCUUUCCUCACACUGAACCCAUCUGGAAGAGUUUCAUCAGACAAGCAUAUCUUUGCAUCCUGCAAUCAAAGUGAAGAGGUAGUGAGAACCAAAGAAAACCCCAGAACAUAGCAAGGAAGCUAAUUUCUAGCCUUCCCGAUAUGCAUUGAAUGGAUAUCAGUUUAUCGAUGCAUGUUCUUUGAUGUGCAUUAACAAGUUCAGUUGGAGGAUUCAAGAUUCAAGGCAACUUUGCUUACAACUGGAACAGCGGGGUAGAGCCUUAAUGUUUCAGUUAAGGCUGCAUGGAGAUAGUGCAUUUUUCCUAGGGCUUCUUCGCUCAAGAUAGCAGCAAAUUCAGCAAAAUCUUUAACCUCCUUCGUGUCAGUUGCUUCCUUCACUUCUUGUGCAACCUUUUCUUGAACAUCAGGAUGCUUGCAGAGCAUGUAAAUAAACCACGACAGAGUAGCUGUCGUUGUGUCUUUCCCAGCAAUUAUGAAGUUAAGGAUUAUAUCUCGCAAGUAUGUUGGAUCAGUGUCACUCACUUGUAGAAAUCUGGAUAAAAUGUCUUCCUUUUUCAUCUGCAUAAUCUGUAGAAAAUAAUAAUUUCAAUAUUCUACUUCAACAGGUAAUAUAAGCUGUUAACUAUAAGUAGCUCUACUGUUCUAGUUCACUCACUGAAGCUUCAUCCUUUGAGUUGCGUAUUGGCUCAAUCUUGUUGUGGAUCAGCUUAUACACAAAAUUAUCAACCACUUCUAUACUUUUCUUCAGUGUGGCCUCUGAUCCAAUAUUUAGAAAUCUUUUGAUCUUCUAGAAGAUAUCAACAUAUCGGAAGAGGAUUGCUGCACUUGAAUCAUCAAAAGCAGCUGUAAACUGUUUGCCUUCUAAAUUUGAUCCACACAUGCUGUCUAGUUCGACUCCAAAUGCAACUUUGAAUAGUGAAUCUAAAGUCGAUUUCAUAAACAAGUCCUGCACAAUAUAUCGUUAUAACAGAUCCAUUUUAUAUAUCACUCUGCAUUGAUCUUGCCAUUAGGUGAACUUACCUGUAUAUCCAUUAUCUCAUUGGAAUUUGCUGCUUCAGACACUAUAGUUGCAAGUUUUGCCGCAUUUUCCCGAAAGACUACACUGCUGAAAUCUCUCAAGACCUUGGUUGAGAAUUCAUAGCUUGAUACUUUCCUCUGUUGACGCCACUUAUCACCAUCGACAGUGAAAAUCCCAUCACCUAGUAAACCCUUUAGCAAGCUGUAAUUGUACUCACCCUGCACAGAAAAUUAAACAGUUUGGAAAACCAAAACAACUCCACCAUUCUGCCUUUUGGGUGGCCAUAUAAUUAUCAAAAGCCCUCUCAUUCCAACUAAUCACUCUGCGGCAUAUUAGCAUCUACAAUUGACUUACUUGUGGCGAGAUUGAGACCCUUUUUCUUAAUCUAAUUACGGGUGUUUCUGUCUAAGCUACUUACACUAACCAAUCACCGGGAGAGUUCAGAAUUUUCUAGACCAACAAAUUAUUUGUGACUUUGAGGUGUGAAACGAGAGUCGGCACCAUACCUUGCCAUAUUUCUGGAAAUUUGUUUUUAGAAUAUACUCAACAUUGUCUGGUUCCGAGGUAUAAAUCUCAUUCCUGAAAGGGCUAAGCAGCCUGUAGUUCCUGUACUUCCCAGCAAGAUCAGUCAUAUAGUGAUGCAAUCUUCUGAAGUUGAGGAGCUGGUUAAAAACCGUUCCGCCAACGGGAUGGUACUUGGCCUUAUUUUUCCUCUGCCUUUCUCUUAGUUUUGCUGUGAGGAACUGGACGGUGAAAAGGGUCAGGAUUAGACUUAGAACCAAAGCUACCAAGGGAACUGGGUUAGACAGAUCCAUGAAGAUGGAGGUACGUUUGGGAAAGCUGGUCUAUCAAUGUUAGGUGAAGGCUGUAUUAAACUAGAGAAGUCGUUCUGAAAUACUAAUAAUAUCAACGGAGAGAAGUCCUUCUGCCAAGUUAUUCCUCUCAACCAAACGUGUCACAACCUAAUUGGACUACAUUCGGACAAGCCCGAAACGUGGUUCUCUCGAAUUUCACAAGGUGAAAUUUUUGAAAUUGGCAAAAAAUUACUAAUAAAUUUCACCACAACCAGAUAACAAAACAAAGGGUCAUACUUAUUUUUUCCUUAGUUAUGAUGGUAAAGGACAUACAUAUCUGUUCUAUUCGGUUAUUUUGUAGUUAAGUAAAGAGAAUGAUUUUUUAAUUUAAUUUUUAAAUAAAAAUACGUGUAUUUAUCAUGUUAAGUUUAAUAUUCAGAUGAAAAAUUAAUUAGAAUUUUAUUUCAAAGCAUAUGAUACAAUUAAGUAACUUAAGUACAAAGAUGAUUAAGCUUAGCAAACAAGGAAAUGUCAUAUUUCUCAAUCCGAGAGAUAAGAAGCACAGAGCCAAAGGCCCUGCAAAAAGGCAGGGGAGAACUGAAUUGUUGUUUCCUAAAACUUUGCAUUAAGAUCAACAUGACUUUCUAGUCAUUAAAUAUUCUGCUAGAUUUCGAACUUGCAAAUAUGGUCUGUUUUAAUGAAAUUGCAGAAUGUUGUCUCAGGUCUCAACAACUUUGAUUUCACUUCUUUUUCAAGGAAAAAAAAAUGGUUUCACUUAGUUUGCAGAAGUGUCCUGAACUCAAUUUUCAGACAAAAGUAUGGUUCGAGACUCCUUGGUGAGUGAAAGUAAUUCUUCAUCAUAUUUAUUCCUUUAUUUUUCUUUUUGGAUAUCAUUGUAUUUAUUCUUGUGCAAGGACAAGUACAUGCAUACUCAAACCUUGCAAUUGCCCAGCAUACAGAACUGAGCCAACAGAUGAAACCCGUGGUCAAAUAGGCAAGAAAGACUAAGUCUGACAUCUGGGAAAUGCGCGGACAUGAAGGCCCCCAUCUACGUGAAGAGUGAUCAUCGUCCUGUAGGUGACAGAUUUAUUCUCAUCACUCAGUUUGAACACAAAGUAGUGCACCAGAACAGCCGAGAAGAUCUUCAUCUGCCUAUAAGCAAAUUCCUUGCCGAAACAAAUUCGAGGGCCUGCCUGUAAACCAUUAGAAAAUAAAGUUCAGCAUGUUCACAUCUUUAGCCGGUGAAAUCACACUUGUGAAACAAUAUGAGAAGUUUGAACUUUCGGAAAAAGACCCAGAACCAAAAAUCAAAUGCUGUUAUACUGCUUUUUUAGCCUCUUUUUCUAUUUGAGGUUUUAUUUUACACCAAGUGCCAAUCAGAAUAAUAAUGCUUUGGCCGAUCUGGAAACGAAGCGUACAAGAACUUCUAAUUUGUAGUAUGUUCUGCACACCUGGAAUGCUGUAAACUUAAAAUGGCUUUCUGGUUGGAACAUCCCAUCCUCAUCAAGCCAUCUCUCUGGUCUGAACUCCUCUGCAUCAUCACCCCAUAUGAAUUUCAUUCUGCCCAUUGCAUAAGGUUGAUAACAAACCAUAUCUCCUUUCCUCACACUGAACCCAUCUGGAAGAGUAUCAUCAGAAAAGCAUAUCUUUGCAUCCUGCAAUCAAAGUGAAGAGGUAGUGAGAUCCAAAGAAAACCCCAGAACAUAGAAAGGAAGCUAAUUUCUAGCCUUCCCGAUACGCAUUGAAUGGAUAUCAGUUUAUAGAUGCAUGUUCUUUGAUGUGCAUUAACAAGUUCAGUUGGAGGAUUCAAGAUUCAAGGAAACUUUGCUUACAACUGGAACAGCGGGGUAGAGCCUUAAUGUUUCAGUUAAGGCUGCAUGGAGAUAGUGCAUUUUUCCUAGAGCUUCUUCGCUCAAGAUAGCAGCAAAUUCAGCAAAAUCUUUAACCUCCAUCGUGUCAGUUGCUUCCUUCACUUCUUGUGCAACCUUUUCUUGAACAUCAGGAUGCUUGCAGAGCAUGUAAAUAAACCACGACAGAGUAGCUGCUGUUGUGUCUUUCCCAGCAAUUAUGAAGUUAAGGAUUAUAUCUCGCACGUAUGUUGGGUCAGUGUCAUUCAAUUGCAGAAAUCUGGAUAAAAUGUCUUCCUUUUUCAUCUGCACAAUCCGUAGAAUACAAUUAUUUCAAAAUUCUACAUAGAAACCGUUAAUUAUAAGUAGCUCUAUUCUUCUAGUUCACUCACAGAAGAAUCGUUCGAGUUACGCGUCUGCUCAAUCUUGUUGUGGAUCAGCUUAUACACAAAAUUAUCAACCACUUUUGUACUUUUCUUUAGUUUUUGCUUCUGAUCCAAUAUUUAAAAAUCUCUUGAUCUUCCAGAAGAUAUCAACAUAUCGGAAGAGGAUUGCUGCACUUGAAUCGUCUAAAGCAGCUGUAAACUCUUUGCCUUCUAAAUUUGAUCCACACAUGCUGUCUAGUUCAACUCCAAAUCCAACCUUGAAUAUCGAAUCUAAAGUCGAUUUCAUAAACAAGUCCUACACAACAUUUCGUUAUAACAGAUUCAUUUUAUAUAUCACUCCGUCAUGAGUCUUGCCAUUAGGUGAACUUACCUGAAUAUCCAUUGUCUUGUUGGACUUCGUUGCGUCAGACACUAUAUUUGCAAGCUUUGCUGCAUUUUUCCGAAAGACUACAGUGCUGAAAUCCCUCAACACCUUUGUUGAGAAUUCAUAGCUUGACACUUUCCUCUGUUGACGCCACUUAUCACCAUCGACUGCGAAAAUCCCAUCACCUAGUAAAUCCUUUACCAAGCUGUAAUUGUACUCACCCUGCACAGAAAAUUAGACAAAUUGAAAAACCAAAACGACCCCACCAUUCUACCGUAGCCAUAUAAUUAUCAAAAACUCUUUCGUUGUAGCUAAUAACCCUGCAGGCUGCAGCACAUUAGCAUUUGUAAUUGACUUAAUUGUGACUAUAGAUUGAGACACUCUUUCAUAUUCUAAUUCUGGGUGUUACUGUCUAAGCUACUUCUUCCAACCAAUGACUGGGAGUUCAAAAUUUUCUAGACCAACAAAUUACCUUGCCAUAAUUCUGGAAAUUUGUUUUGAGAAUAUAUUCAACGUUGUCUGGUUCCGAGGUAUAAACCUCACUCCUGAAAGGGCUAAGCAGCCUGUAGGUCCUAUACUUCCCUGCAAGAUCAGUCAUAUAGUGAUGCACUCUUUUGAAGUUGAGGAGCUGGUUAAAAAGUGUUCCGCCAACAGGAUGGUACUUGGUCUUGUUUUCUUUCUGCUUUUCUCUUAGUUUUGCUGCGAGGAACUUGACAGUGAAAAGGAUCAGGAUUAGAUUUAGAAACAAAGCGACCAAUGUAGCUGGGUUAGACAGAUCCAUGGAGAUGGAGGUCCUUUCUGGGUAAGCUGGUCGAUCAAUGUUAGCGGGUGAAGACUGAAGAAAACUAGAGGUCCUUUUAUAAUACUAAUAAUAUCAACGGCGAAAAAUCCUUUUGCUAAGUCAUUUCUCCUAACCAAACGAGUGACUAUAUUCCGACAAACCGCAAACGUGUUUCUCUUGAAUUUUACAUGCACAUUGCUGAGAGUCCAACCAUGAGAGAGAUAUGCACCGACUGUCCUUCAUUUUCUCCUUUUUCUUGUUUAAAUUGGUAUAAGUUAUUAACUAAUUUCACCACAACCAAAUAACAAAACAAAGGGCAGGAUUAGUUUUUUUUUUUCUCAGUCAAUAUAACUAUUUAGAGAAAAUUGUGAAAAAUAACUCAUAAGGUGAUUUUAAAAAUAAUCAUCCAUAUAAAGUUAUCUGUUUUUACUAAAAAACAAACAUGAGUAAUACCCUCAGAAACAUCUUGACAAAUCAAUCUUCUGAUAUCUCUCCGCUGUAGAAAAAAUAAAUGCUCAAUUAUUUUAACUCGCUUAACUCUUUCAGCUCUCUAAAUUAUAUCAACUCUGUCAACUCUCUGUUAAGCAUCAUCGUCAUCAACUCUCUCAACUAUUUGAACUAUAUCAUCUAUAUGUAUUUAUUAAAGAUAUAAAUUAAAGAAUAUAAAUGAAAACAAAGUAAAUGAAUAAUUGAAAAGACAAGUCGAGCCACUUAUUACUACAACGAUCAUUGUCUGAUCAUGACAACUGAAGCCACUGCAAUUGCUCGGCCAAUAAAGUUGGCAAACUUUGUUGAAAUAGGACUUGCAUUGAAAACCAUGUAAGUUCAUACUACCUUAAGAUCAUACGUGACCAUUUUGUAUUAAGCUACCUUUCUUUCAAAUUAUAAUAACUAUGCAUUUAGUGAAUGACUUAUAUGAUGAUUAGUAUGUAUUCUUUUGCCUAGCUACUGCUCAAAACUUAGUUGUUAAGUUUUGUUUUGUAUAUAAACUAAGUCAAUGCAUAUAAGAAAUAUGAAACCUACUGUUACAACAAAAACUGUCUUUACUUGCUCUGUUUCAUACUUAUCCUACAUCAACUAAAACACAACAAAACUUACUAAAUAAAGCAAUCUAUAUACCAACAAUCUCUUCGAAUUCAGCAAGUUUUAGUUUGUCCUCUUGGAAUGACAUAAAGGUCGAGGCCAUGCUGGAGGGUGAGGCCACAACUUGGUCCUAUCGUCUGCCAAGUUGAAGCGAAAGUAGUGAAUAAAGGAACUUUGUUGAGAUUUUCUUCAUCUGCCUAGAGAAAUUAAGAAGAAAUUAGAUGGUGUAGAUACUUGAUUUUGAUUUUGAUUGUUUACAUAUUUCUUCAAUAUAAAGUAAAAUUAACUUAUAAAACAUUGUAUUACUACGUAAGAAGCAGUGUAGAUAAUUUAUAAUAAGUAGAAAAAUCACGUCAUUGUAUAAACUAGUGAAAAUAUCUUCGAACUAAUGAUGAGAUUUUUAAAUUAAUUUUUUUUAAAAUGUUUUGAAGUGUUUUAUUUGAUAACUUAAAUACAUAAAUGAAAACUUUCUAAAUACAUAUGCAUAAAGUCCACUAUCACCAUCAAUGACCUAAACAUCCACAAGGCUUUAAUGCCUCAACAGUUGACACAUUUUUUCAUUGGUUUUUUUUAGGGGUAUUUUUAAAAAUAACCCUUAAAAAUAAGAUGUUUUCAAAAAUAACUCUCUUUAUAAUUUUAACCAUUUUUAACCAAGUUGGACAAAAUUACCCUUAAUGAAAUUACACGCUAUGAUGUUACACGUUAUGUACAAAAAUAUGUUACACGUCAUGUGCAAAAACAUGUGACACGUCAUGGUUAAGUUGUUACACACCAUGUACAGAAACAUGUGACACGCUAUGUACAAAAACAUGUAACACGUCAUGAUUAGGUUGUUACACACCAUGUACAGAAACAUGUGACACGUCAUGUACAAAAACAUGUGACACGCCAUGGUUAGGUUGUUACACGUCAUGUUGAAAAAAAUACUAUUGUUACACGCCAUGUAUAAAAACAUAUUACACGUCAUGGUUAAAAAAAGUUGUUACAUGCCAUGUUGAAAAACAAAUAUUGUUGUUACACGUCAUGUACAAAAAUCUGUGACAAGCCAUAAUUAGGUUGUUACACGUCAUGUUGAAAAAAAAUACUAUUGUUACACGUCAUCUACAAAAAUAUGUUACACGCUAUGGUUAAAAAAAGUCGUUACACUCCAUGUUGAAAAAAAAAAUUAUUGUUACACGCUAUGUUGAAAAAAUAUUGUUGUUACACGACAUAUUCAAAAAUAUUUUGUUACACUUUAAUGUCUAAAAUAUUGUUGUUACUUACGAACCAAAACUUCAAAUCUUCUCAACUUUUUUCUUUUUUUGUUGUUUUUUUUGACAAUUUGGCACAGAUUAAAUUGUUUCUAACAUCUUUUCAUAAAUCAAAAUACAAAUAUUUUUUUUAUCUAAACCACCUACNGCUUAAAAUUUUGUUGUUACUUAUGAACCAAAACUUCAAAUCUUUUCAACUCUUUUCAUUUUUUUUUGUUUUUUUUGACAAUUUGGCACUGAUUAUAGUGUUUCUAACAUGUUUUCAUUAAUCAAAAUACAAAUUUUUUUAUCUAAAAUACUUAUUUCGAAUAAAAUAAAAAAAAAAUUCUUUUAAAAAUCUAGAUUUUUAAAUUUCAAAAUUUUGAGUUUUUUAGUGUCUAGGUCCCUAAUUGAUUCAAUUAAAAGUUAUUUCAUACAUCUGUGAUUAUUUCUACCACCCACCCAAGCACGUCAAAAACAUUGCUUGGUGUCUUGAAAGCACAAUAAAAAAAAUCUAAAAAUACAAUAGAGAGAAAUCAGAAGCAUAGCAAACGAAUGCCAAAAAGAGAAAUCGAUAAAAUUAAAGAGAAUGGGAUAGUGAGAGAGAGAAAUCAGAAACAAAAAUUGGGAGAAAUUGUGAUGAAUGGUUUAAUUUAUUUGAAAUAGUUUAAAAGUUAUUUUUAUCAAAUCAUGACUAAAUAUAAUUAAAAACAGUUAAAUUUAUUUUGAUUGUUACUUUUAAAAUGUCUUUAUCAAAAAAGGUCAUUUCUCACAAUUUCCUUUUUUUUAUAAGCCAUGAAUAAAUUUCAUUAAUUACAAGAUUACUCAAUUCCAUAACCCUUCAAGAUAUUUUCUCAUUGAUUGUGUUCGAUUUGAUAUGGAUGUUAAUUUUCUUUUUGAAUUACAAAUAUUUUUCAUUUUUUUAAAUAAUUAAGUGACGCACUUCUAAUGCCUCAGUAGCUGACAUUAAUUAUCCAUUGGUUGCAUUCACUUUGAUUCGGAGCUAAUUAACAACCGAAAAGUUGGCCGAUGUUUGCCGACCUGGAUUUAAUGGUCAUAUGAGUUGGUGUAACAAUGUGAUACCAAAAAGGUAGUAAUCAAUACAAAUUUUGAGUAGGAAGAGUACUGCAUGCAAAUGAAAUCAAGAAGAAGAUUGUGGAGAAAACUCUCAUUUAAUGGAAGAACAUGACUGCCAAAUACGAGUACCUAUACAUGGUUUUGCAAUUGCCAUCAUCCUAUGCAUCCCUAGGUUACUUAACUGAUUGAUGUAAUUCAUUGAAUAAAAUGGUUAGUUGUUCUUAUCAUGUCAUGUCAUCGUCAUGAUAUUUCUUCCUCUUUUGUGAGUAAUGAGAUUUUUGAAGGAUGGAGAUGACUCUACCUAAAUUCCUAGAUUUUUUUUGUUGCUUAUUUUCAUUGUAUUUUGAGUUCUUGACUGUCUAUAACUGUUUAUCUUUUGCAAAGCCAUUUUUUUACCUUAAUUUCAACCCAGCAUCUGUGUGUUGUCUGAUGGGUUAGAAAAUGGGCAAGUUUGAUUGGUGGUUGAUUCCUUUUCUUCAGCAUUUUGGUAACUUGGGCCUAUAAAAUUUAUUUAUAGUAGACAAAAAAAAAGAACUUUUAUUAAAAAAUAUUAUAGUAAAUAUUUGUUUCUUUUCGGAUAAUUGACUUUUAUUUAGCUAAGGAAUAUUUUAUUUGAAAUAUGUCCCAUAUAUACCACUGAAAAUCCAAGGUUUUUUAUGGCUAUUCAUUCUUAAUGGCAUUUCUACUAAAUGCUUUCUAAGAAUCAGAACGCAUGGUGUAUGUCCUACAAUACAAAUGGUGAUAACUUUUGUUUUUGGUGUUACAGUCAUGGAAGAAAAGAGUGAUGAUAUUUUAUUUUCUUGUCACUUCAUACGGUCCAUGGAGGAAAUGUGGAUAGAUCGAAGAUAAGUAAAUCAAGAUUCACAGACUGUGAAAACGUAUUAAAAGAUAAGAAUUUUUUGACUUGGAUUUUUUUUAAUAAAAGUUCUUUGCUUGGAUUUUUUUUUUAGUAAAAAUUCUUUGCUUGGAUUUAAGAGAUGAGAUUCAAAGAACUUUUAAGAGAUGCAGCAAACAACCUCAAAAUCCAAGCUCUUUGCUUGUAAGCUUCCUAGGCACCUGUAAACGGAAAAUACGGCUUCUAUGGAGUCCCAAUCUCCGGAAAUGGUCAGGGCAUAUAGACCAGAUGACUCGAAUUGUACAUAUAUUUUUUUCUUUUUUGGUGAAAUAACUCAAAUUCCAUUCAUCAACGCAUUUACAGAAAAAAGCAAAUCAACACUACAGAAAAAUGCAAAUCGGGGCUCUUAUGUACAACCAGCAAGGUUGAAGACUUGAAGUUGAACAAAUUGAUGACUUUGCACAGGAGGAUAUUUGGAAAUUCAUCAACUUGUCCUUGGAACAGCAUAAAGAUGGAGGCCCCCCUUCAUAUGAAGUGUGAACAUUGUCCUGUAAGUCGCAAUUUUCGUAUCAUCAACUAAUUUAAAGCGGAAGAAGCGAAGAAGGGCAAUUGAGACUAUCUUCAUCUGCCGGUAAGCAAAAUCCUUGCCUAAGCAAGUUCGAGGACCCGCCUGAAACAUAAUGCAGCAGCUGGAAAAGAUUAAGAUCGUUUGACAACUAUAUAGGCACAUGCAUGUUAUACACAUGGUAGAAAUGGAAAAAAGAAUACUAACAUGAAAUGUUAUGAAUUUGAAAGGGGAUUCGGGCUGGAGAACUCUAUUGUUAAGCCAUCUUUCUGGUCGAAAAGUGUCGGCAUCUUCUCCCCCAAUGUCAGGCAUUCUACCCAUGGCGUAGGCCAUGUAAUAUACCCCGUCUCCUUUCUUGAGUUUGUAGCCAUCAGGGAGAAUGUCAUCCUGCUCUGCAUUCCUUCCAUCCUUGAAGCACAAAGUGAGAACCAUAUCAUAUUCCAGCUAUCGAAAUGCUAAGACUGCUAGAAAAUCUAUGAGUGUCUCAGGCAACUUACAAUGGCGACAGCAGGGUACAGCCUUAAGGUCUCUGUUAUGGCUGCAUGAAGAUAGUGCAUUUGCUCUAGGGUUGAAUCAGUUAUGGUUGUCACGAAAUCAUCAACAUUAUUAGCACCAUUUCCUUUACUACUAGUGACGUCCACCACUUCUUGUGCAACUUUUUCUUGUAUCAAAGGGUUCUUGCAGAGCAUGUAGAAGAACCAGGACAGAGUAUUCGCAGAAGAAUCUUUGCCAGCGAGUAUGAAGUUCAGGAUUAUAUCCCUUAAAUAUUUGUCAUUCAUUGUGUCUGGAUUCUUCUCGCUUUCCACUAAAAAUCUUGAAAGUAUGUCUUCUUUCACAUUCUUGAAGCCAUAAAAAGAAAUAAGAAAAAACAAACCAAUUAUUAGUAAAGUAUAAAUUUCCACGCCAAAAACCAGAUUACCUUAAGCAGUGAGAUUGAAUUCAACAGUGUUCUUGUGACUUUCAAGUCCCACCAUAUUUGUUAGACCAAGAUUGACUAUAAGAAAUUCUUGCAGCAAAAUAUAUAUGGCUCACCAAAUCUCGUUCCAUGCCCAGCAGUUUCCUCUUGGAGCUAAUGACAUCGUGAACAAAAGUAUCAAUGACUUUGAUAUUCUUUCUGAGGGCAGCUUCAGAGCCAAUGUUAAGAGACCUUUUCAGCUUCCAGAAAGGGUCAACAAAGCGCCUCUCAUUUGAAACAUCAAAAGCCUUCAUAAAAGUAGUCCCUUCCUUACUUGACCCAUCCAUGCAGUUUAUAUCUAUGCCAAACCCAACUUUGAAUAUGGAAUCUAGAGUGCAUGUCAUUAAUAGAUUCUACAAAUUAAAGUAAACACAGCAUGAAAAACUGAAAAAGGGAAAAUUAGACAAGCAUAAUUGUGAGCGUCUUUAAAGUUUUGGGUUAAUUUGAGGGUCAGAUUUCUCACUUGCAUGUCAAAAGCUUGACCCGACACUUCCAGCUUCGAAAUAACUCCAACCAGCUUGGCAGCGUUCCUUCUGAAAACAGAGCAGCUAAAAUCUUUAAGAACUCUCGUCGAGAACUCGAAGCUUGCCAGCUUCCGCUGCUUUCGCCACUUGUCUCCGUCCACCGCAAAGAUCCCUUGUCCAAAAAGAUCUAUCAGAAUUUCUUGGUUUUGUUUACCCUUACAAUAUCUGUCGAACUUUGUUUUCAAUAUGUACUCUAUGUUGGAAAAUAAUGUAUUUCAUAAGGUUCAAACAUCCCACAUUGUCAAAAUACAUAAAAGGUGAAUGUCUUAUAUUGGGAAACCAACUUUAGACUUGUUGCAAGCAAAGAAAACAAAGUGGGCUCACGCGCAUACAAAAUUGGGCCAAAUAGUUAAAAAUUUUAAAUUUUCCUCCCUGUGCGCGAGUAUACAUGUGAGCUGAGCCUAAGUGACCUUUUGUACCUUGACCUUAUUUUUUUUGAACUUUUUCAGCCUUUGAUUAAAUCAAAGUCUAACUCUACCAUGCUUACCUGAUUCUCCUGGUUUUCCUCAACUCCCUCAACUCUCUGAUCUGGUGCAAUGUUCACCUUAUUUGGUGCAACGUUCACUUCACUCCAUGCCUAUAAAUACAACCUUACACCCUCACUCACAACAUACACCAAAGCUUUUCUUCUCUAAAGCUUUCUCCCUCUGCCUCUUCUCUUCUCUUAAGCUUCUCUGCUGGGUUUUCUGCUUCUUCUUUUUGCUAUUCCUGUCAUCCCUUAAUAGUUUGUGCAAACUAUAAGGAAGGGUCUGUUGAAUCUUGGAGGAUAACCGCUACAGUCUUUUUGCACCGAGUUUUAUACUCCGAAUGGGCGAAAAUUAUCCUUAAAGACAGUGAUACCACGCCUCAGACCAAUUACUGCUUUUACUAGUUUUAUAUUCCUUUGUUUCCAAUAUUCAUACAACAUUCUUAAGGAUAAUGGAUUCCCAUGUUGAUAAUGUUGCUGCCACUGUUCCUAAUGCUGCCUCUGUCCCUACUGCCACUAUUCCUAAUGCUGCCUCUGUCCCUGUUGCCACCGCUGUCAACAGUUCCCCCAUAGCUCCCACUCCGAUGACCAUUCCUCCUAUGGCCUCGGCUUCAUAUGCCAAACCAUUUCCAGAUAUUUCCAAAAUAGAAGUCUUUGAUGGCAGAAACUUCAAAAGGUGGCAAGAAAGGAUUUUUUCAAUCCUUGAUGUUCAUGGGGUUGCUUUUGCACUAAUUGAUUCCAAACCAGAUGAUGUCAAGAUGCUGGAACCAUGGAUGCAUGCAAAUAAGGUAUGCAGGCAUACAAUCAUUAGCACACUUUCUAAUGAAUUGUUUGAUGUAUACAACCCUUACAAAGAAGCAAAGCAAAUAUGAGAGUCAAUGAUAGCCAAAUAUACUGCUGAAGAUGUUGGGAAACAGAAGUUCGUGAUUGGCAACUUUUAUCGUUGGAAGAUGACAAAUGACAAGGACAUCAAGAGUCAGAUCAAUGAAUACCACAAGCUAGUGGAUGAUUUGAAGGCUGAAAAAAUCAACUUGCAAGAAGAGUUCGUUGUUAGAUUGCUGAUUGAGAAGCUACCACAAUCUUGGAAUGGAUACAAGCAACAACUAAAGCACAAGGAAAAGUAGUUGUCACUUGCAAAUUUAAUUGUGCACAUCAUCAUUGAAGACACAACUCGCAGGGAGAUUAAGGCUUCCAAAGCUAAGGAAAUUGCAACUAAAGCCAAUCUGGUACAAGGCAAAACCCAGCGCCAACCAAGGUACCCUUAUAAACCUUAUCAUAAACCCAAAGCUCCUCAUCCCACUUUCAAAAAGAAGGGUAGUUGUUUUGUCUGUGGAAAGCCAGGGCAUCAUGCAGCACAAUGCAGGAAAAGAGCAAAGAGAAAUGACAAACCUGCUAAUCCAAGAGUCAACUUGGUCAAAGCAGAUGAAUCUAAUGAUGUAAUUGCUGCGGUCAUUUUACAAGCAAAUAUGGUGGCCAGUGUGAAGGAAUUGGUGGUAGACUCAGGUGCUACCAAGCAUAUUUGUGCAAACAGAAAUGCCUUUACCUCCUAUACUCUUGUAGGGGAAGGAAAAGAGACAAUUUACCUCGAUGAUUCUCGAACUGCUCAAGUUCUUGGUAAAGGGAAAGUCCUUCUCAAGCUCACAUCUGGCAAGACCCUAGCUCUAAAUGAUGUUCUUCAUGUUCCCAAUAUAAGGGCAAACUUGGUAUCUGUGGCCUUAUUAGGCAAGGUUGGGGUGAAAAUGUCAUUCGAAUCUGACAAGAUUAUGAUGACAAAAAAUAAUGUGUUUAUGGGUAAGGGUUAUUGCAAUCAGGGACUCUUUGUACUUAACAUUUCCAAUGUUUUGAAUGAAAAUGGCAAUUCUUCUGCUUACAUGAUUGAAUCUGUUGAUUUAUGGCAUGGUAGACUAGAACAUGUUAGCAUUCCCUAUAUUAAGAAAAUGCAAUCACUAGGAUUAAUUUCUAAUAUUAAAAAUGGAAGCUUUAAUAAAUGCGAAAUAUGUGCUGAAACAAAAUCAACUAAAAAAACUUGUAUUUCAGUAAAUAGGGAAUCUGAAUUAUUAAGUUUAAUUCAUACAGACUUAGGAGAUCUAAAACAAACUGUGACUAGAUGAGGUACGCAAUACUAUGUUACAUUUAUUGAUGAUUAUUCUAGAUUUACUAAAGUUUAUUUACUUAGGCAUAAAGAUGAAGCUUUUGACAUGUUUAUUAAAUAUAAAGCUGAGGUAGAAAAUCAACUGAAUAAAAAGAUAAAAAGAAUUAGAUCAGAUAGAGGGGGUGAAUAUAUACCGAUUAAUGAUAUUUGUGAAAAAGAAUGAAUAAUUUAUGAAAUUACUCUUCCAUAUUCUCCUGAAUCAAAUGGUGUAGCUGAAAGAAAAAAUAGAACAUUAAAAGAAAUGAUGAACUCUAUGCUUGUUAGUUCCAAUGCACAUGAAAAUUUGUGGGGUGAAGCUUUAUUAUCCGCAUGUCAUAUUCAGAAUAGAAUACCUUAUAAGAAAACUAGUAAGACACCUUAUGAAUUAUGGAAAGGUUAUUCUCCUAAUUUAAAAUAUUUAAAAAUAUGGGGGUGUCUAGCUAAGGUAAUGCUUCCUGAAUUUAAGAAGAGAAAAAUUGGUUCUAAGACAUCUGAUUGCAUGUUUAUUGGUUAUGCUGAACAUAGUGCUGCAUAUAGGUUUCUUGUAUUAAAAAGUGAUGUUCUUGAUUGUAAUACAAUUGUUGAAACAAAGAAUGCCGAAUUUUUUGAACAUAUUUUUCCAUUAAGAAUUGAUACAAUUUCUCAUGCACCUUUUAGUAAAAAUGAUUUUGAAAUACAAAAUGAUGAUUUGAGAAGGAAUAAAAGACCAAUUUCUUUUGGUAAUGAUUUUUAUACUUAUCUUGUAGAUAAUGAUCCUUUGACUUAUGUUGAUGCAAUUUCUUCUAAAGAAAGUUUAUUUUGGAAAGAAGCCAUACAAAAUGAGAUUGAUUCGAUUUUACAAAAUCAAACUUGAGAAUUAGUUGAUUUACCACCUGGAGCCAAACCAAUUGGUUGCAAAUGGAUUUUUAAAAGAAAAUUUAGUCUUGAUGAUUUUAUUGAUAAAUAUAAAGCUAGAUUAGUUGCAAAGGGUUUUACUCAAAAACCAAAUAUUGACUAUUUUGAUACUUUUGCUCCAGUAACAAGAAUUGCAUCAAUUCGUGUUUUAUUUGCUUUAGCUUCAAUUUACAAACUUGUUGUUCAUCAAAUGGAUGUAAAAACUGCUUUUUUAAAUGGUGAUUUAGAAGAAGAAAUUUAUAUGACACAACCUGAGCGAUGUAUUGUUCCUGGUCAAGAAAACAAAGUUUGUAAAUUGAUUAAAUCAUUAUAUGGUUUGAAACAAGCACCCAAACAAUGGCAUGAGAAAUUUGAUCAAGUUCUUGUUAGUAAUGGAUUUUCUACUGUUGGAGUUGAUAAAUGUGUGUACACAAAAACUGUUGAUAGUGGAUGUGUGAUUAUUAGCUUAUAUGUUGAUGAUAUGCUUAUUUUUGGUACACGCAUUGAUGUGGUCAAUAAAAUAAAAUGCUUUUUAGCUUCUAAAUUUGACAUGAAAGAUCUGGGAGAAGCCAAAGUUAUUUUGGGUAUUAAAAUCAUAAGAUGUGAUAGUGGCUUAAUGCUAACAUAAGAGCAUUAUGUUGAGAGACUACUUAAAAGGUUUGAACAUUUUGAUGUCACACCUGUGAGUACUCCUUAUGAUAGUAAUAUUCAAUUAAAGAAAAAUAGAGGUGAUAGUGUAGCUCAGUUUGAGUAUGCACAGAUUAUUGGAAGUCUGAUGCAUUUAAUGAAUUAUACUCGACCAGAUAUAGCUUAUGUUGUAUGUAGACUGAGCAGAUAUACACAAAAUCCUAAUAGAGAUCAUUGGACUACCUUGAGUAGGGUGAUGAAAUAUUUGAAAGGUACCAUAAACUAUGAUAUUUUAUAUAAUGAAUUUCCCGCUGUAUUAGAAUGAUACAGUGAUGCUAAUUGGAUCUCAUAUUCAGAUGAGACGAAAUCUACGAGUGGUUAUGUAUUCACCCUUGGUGGCGGUGCUAUAACUUGGAAAUUAGCCAAACAAACAAUAAUUGCUAAAUCUACAAUUGAAUCAGAAUUUGUAGCUUUAAAGUUGGCUGGUAAUGAGGCUGAGUGGUUGAGAAACCUCUUAACAGAUAUUCCGUUAAGAAUGAAACCAACACCUUCUGUGUCCAUGCAUUGUGAUUGCCAAGCGGCAAUAACCAUUUCAAAUAAUAAAACUUUCAAUGGUAAAAAUAGACACAUUCGUUUGAGACAUGAUGUAGUAAAGCAGCUGCUUAGAGAUGGAAUUAUAUCCAUUAAUUAUAUGAAGUCAGAGCUGAAUUUGGUCGAUCCUCUGACUAAGCCCCUAGGAAGAAAAUUAAUUAAUGCUACAUCGAGAGGAAUGAGACUUAAGCCAAAUGAGGAAAUCAACAAAUAGUAGUAACCCAACCUAUGUGAUUGGAAAUCCCAUGAAUUAGGUUCAUAUGGGUAAUAACAAGUUAUUUGUUGAUAAAUUAAUGCACUAUUGAAAGUAUUGUCCCUCCUAUGGUGUGUAAAUAGUGCAAAACUGCAAUGUAAGAAAGGUUGAGUUAAACUCUUAAUGCAUUCCAUAUUCCUUAUGGGUAGUGUAUUAUACUGCAGUAUACACUUGAUGGAAUCAACCUAUAUAAGUGUGGAGUAGGGCAGCUCCUAUGAGAACUAUGGCAAAUUCUCUAGAGCACUUAUGAAUAACCAGGCACGCGCAUGGCCUAUUCGAGCAAAACUGCGUUGAACAGCAGAAAUUGUGAGGGUGUAAUGUGAUUGAUGAAAACUAUAUUUCACAUAAAGAAUUUUGGUUCAUAUAAGUUACAAACUUCACCAAAAUCCUGUGACUUAUAUUUCAUUCUUUCUAAGGGUGGUUCAUAGCUUUAAAAGCACCAGUCACGAUGCAUCACACUCAAAUGAAAUUUGAUCCAACAAAACUUCUUAUAAAAUCUUAUGAAAUAUGUGGGGGAUUGUUGGAAAAUAAUGUAUUUCAUAAGGUUCAAACAUCCCACAUUGCCAAAAUACAUAAAAGGUGAAUGCCUUAUAUUGGGAAAUCAACUAUGGGCUUGUUGCAAGCAAGGAAAACAAAGUGGGCUCGUGCGCAUACAAGAUUGGGCCAAACAGUUAAAAACUUCAGAUUCCCCCCCCCCCUGUGCAAGAGUAUACACGUGGGCUGUGCCCAAGUGACUUUUUGUACCUUAACCUUAUUUUUUUUGAACUUUUUCAGCCUUUGAUUAAAUCAAAGUCCAACUCUACCAUGCUUACCUGAUUCUCCUGGUUUUCCUCAACGUUUAUCCUGGUUUUGCUCUAACGUCUAUCUGACUUGGUAUAAAUGCUGACCAAGUUUUCCUCAACUCCCUCAACUCCUUGAUCUGGUGCAACGUUCACCUUAUUUGGUGCAACAUUCACUUCACUCCAUGCCUAUAAAUACAACCUCACACCCUCACUCACAACAUACACCAAAGCUUUUCUUCUCUAAAGUUAUCUCCCUCUGCCUCUUCUCUUCUCUUAAGCUUCUCUGCUAGGUUUUCUGUUUCUUCUUUUUGCUGUUCCUGUCAUCCCUUAAUAGUUUGUGCAAACUAUAAGGAAGGGUCUGUUGAAUUCUGAAGGAUAACCGCUACAGUCCUUUUGCACUGAGUUUUAUACUCCGAAAGGGCAAAAAUUAUCCUUAAGAACAGUGAUACCACGUCUCAGACCAAUUACUGCUUUUACUAGUUUUAUGUUCCUUUGUUUCUAAUAUUCAUACAACACUCUACAUUUCGCGUAUCGACGGUAUAUACUACGCUUAGCCCUAAAGCGAGUUGCUUGUAAGUGGGAUGUUUUUUGGCCGCUUGGGUUUGAUAGUCGUAGAGAUAGUUGAAAUAAAACAACUGGUUGAAAACGCUGCCCUUCACCAGUGGGUAGUCAGGAUUUUCGAUGGAUUUUUCGGUGAAGAUUUUGAUUGUGAGAAAAGAGAAGAUCAGAAUGAGUGGUGGUAAUGAUAUCAACAAGAAGAUGGCAGAGAAAUUAUCCAUUUUUCCUUUUUCUAAUGAAUACUCUGCAAGGUUAUAGGCCAUAUAUGCAGAUUCUUGUAUUGGGUUGCAUUCAUUUUUCAACCUACCAACAAAAUCAAACCUUUUUCAUCACCAAUAUCUUUCUCAACAACAAAAUCAUUUAUUUAAUAAUUAUAAUGUUUACACGUGUAUGAUUGCCAUUUCAUCAAUUUGAUUUUUCUUGUAAAUUAAGUUGCUGCCACCAUAUCUCAUGCUUCAAAAAAUUUAGAGGAUUGUGCGGAUAAUCAUAAAUUUAUAAUCAUAAUAAUAAUCUAUUUAACUUCUAAAGUGAAUUAACAUAUAUAACUUUAAUCAAGUAAGCAUGAAAAAAGUGUAUCAUUUAAGUUUGGGUCUUGUUUACGAAUACUCUAAGAGCUUUUUUUUAUUGUUAAUUAAAAUAUUAUAAUAAUAUUUUUCUAUUAAAUGCCGUAGUUGAUUGGUAGUGUGAUGAUUUUCAUUAUAUCAAAAACUUUAAAUAAUAUCAUUAAAACAAUAGUUAGUAAAAGGCAUAAUAUUCAAAAAAAGCUUUUAAAUUAUUCAAAAAAUUCAAAUAAAUCUUACUUUUAUUAUAUUCAAUUAUGUUCUUAUAUUUUUAUUUUAGGUCAUAUAAGUCUUUUUAUUUUUUAUUUUUAUUUUGAAUCAAAUAAAUCUUUAUAAGUAAUGAUUAAUUUAGUUAAAAUGUCAUUUAUCAUUCUAUGCUACGUAAUGCUGAUAUGGUAUAUUAACAUAUCAUAAUUAAUGAUGAUGUGAUAUGUUGAUAUAUCAUAAUUGAUAAUAAUGUGACAUACUAAUUUAGCCUAAUACCAUGAUGAUAUUUUUCACCCUCCACAUUAAUACCAUAUUAGUGUUAUAUGGAUAUAAAAUGAUAAAAGAUAUUUUAACUAAUGAAAAUUAGUCAAUCAUUAAUAAUAAGGGCUUAUUUGACCUAAAAUAAAAAUAUAAAGACUUGAUUAAGCAUAAUAAAAGAAUAAAAAUUUAUUUAAAUUUUCUUAAAUAGUUUUAGAGCUUAUUUGAGCAUUAUGUCUUAGUAGAACCAUUUAUGUUUUAAAUUUUUUUUUUUGUUUUUCGCAAAGUAAUUUGUCAUAAACGGAAUAAUGACAUGGCUAUAGAUUAAGUUAGGCUAGAAACUUAUUUCAGCCUUAAAUGAUUAACAAUGAAUUAGGUGAGUCACCUCGCAAGAAACCCUUGUACAAUUCUUAGGAUACCCCUGUUACAUGAUCAAGCUCUCUAUUCUCUAUUUAUUAUUACAAUUGGCGACAACAUUCACCUGCCAACUAUCUAACUCCACAAAACCACCCUCAUCAUAUGUUAAGUUUAACUUAAGAAUAACAAGAUUUGGAAGAAGAUAUUUAAACGGUGAUGCUCAUUCAAUAAUGCCAAUCACUAAUCAAUUAAAAUGGGAAGCCGAAAAUAGAUAAUCCAAGGUACAAAAAAAAAUAAGUUUGUCCUUGAAAAUAUUCGCCAUAUGAAAGGGUUGUUUGAAUUUUGCGGAUGCCAAUUGCCCAGCAUAUUAGACAAAAAGUCAAGAGGCAUAAAUCAGUCCUAUUGGCUUCUUCCACAUUUCAUUUUCUUGAUCACUUUUGUCUUACUACUUUGCUUGAUUCUUUCUACACUCUCCAUUUUUAAUUACAUUUUAUAUAGUUGGGUAAUAGACUUUACGCGCCAUUAAUCAAUGAAGUAUAAUUAUUUCAAUAAUAAGGAGACUUUGAAAUCUUUGGAUUUAUUUUAAUUUUAUAUGAUUGAUUGAAUUAUUUGUAGAUAAAAGAGCUUAUAUAUGAAAAUGACAAAUCUAUGUCAUUAAGCCUAACAACAUCAGAAUUGCAAAUUGGAAGUAUUAAAAAUCAAUAACCCCCAAGAAUUGGCAUCGGUUGUGCGGUACGCAAUUAGAAAAGAAAAUAGAUGAUGUUAUCGCAAUUUUCUUUUUCAAUAUGGUUCACAGAGAGCUCAACUUGACAAAGCAUUGCGAUGAUUAGCUAGCGAGAUCGAGGUACCUCUCUGACCCUGACAACUCACUGCAAGCCAAAGGCAGUCUACAGGAGGAUCCUGAAUUACUGUAAGAAAAAUAAUGGCCCAAAACACAAGCAAAAGCGAAAGUUAUCCAUGGUUGGAGGUCCGCCUCCGCUAUGCCACCAUCAGUGUUGGCUAUGGAGUUACGUUUCGACUGUUGGCCAGAAAUAGUAGAAAUAACAAAUAACUUAUCAAAAAGUGGAGUAUGGGUUAAGCUUAGAAUCAGAAAUUUAUGCAGUUUAUUUAUUUACCGAUCUCCAAUACAAGGUGAACCAAAUUUCAUGUUCAUAAUCAUUAGAAAAGCAAAUCGGAACUCGACAUGAGACAAUCAAGUUGUUAUUCUGCACAAAACUAGAAAAGGAAAGCGGAAGUAAUGUUAUUGCAACCAGCAAGGGGUUGAGCAUUUUUCCAACCGACAAUCUACCAUGUUUCUGGAAAUUGGUUUAAGUUGUCCUAGGAACAGCAUAAAGUUGAAGGCCUCCCCGCAUCUGAAGAGUGAAUGUUACUCUGUAGGUUGCAAUUUUUGUAUCAUCAGCUAAUUUGAAGCGGAAGUAGCGAAUAAGGGCAAUUGAGAAUAUCUUCUCUGCCAGUACGCGAAUUCCUUGCCUAAACAAACUCGAGGGCCCGCCUGCAGGAAGUAAUGCAAAAGCCAAAAGAUAAAUUCUUAGUGUUUGACAAUUAUAUAUGCAUAUAUAUAUAUAUUAAAAGGGAAAAAGAGUUCAAACAUGGAAUGCCACGAAUUUGAAUGGCGAUUCGGGUUGGAAAACUCCGUCUUUAAACCAUCGUUCUGGUCGAAAAACCUCAGCGUCCUCUCCCCAAAUGGAAGGCAUUCUACCCAUGGAAUAGGCCAGAUAGGUAACCUCAUCUCCUUUCCUGACUUUGUGUCCAUCGGGAGAAUGUCAUCCGCCAGUGAACACCUUCCAUCCUUGAUGUACAAUAAAGAUACCACAUUUACCCACGUAAGUAUGUAAUUAUUUAUUUAUGAUUUUUCUUUUCAUGAAGAAAUGCCUAUAAUUAAGAUAUUGUAAUUAAUAUUGUCAAUCCAUAUAUUAGAAAAACAUAAAUCUUAAAUCUUAAACUUCAAACCUUACUAUUUUCAGCAAUUUUAGCAUGAAAUAUAGCAAAAAUCAAUCUAUGAAGAUUUUCAGCAAAUUUACCGGAGGGACUGUGGGGUACAGUCUUAAGGUCUCUGUUAAUGCUGCAUGAAGAUAAUGCAUUUUCUCAAGAGUUGCAUCGGUUAUGGUUGUGAUGAAGUCAUCAACGCUAGCAUCAUUUCCUUGGCUGCAAGCGAUGUCCAUCACCUCUUGUGCAACUUUUUCUUGUAUCAAGCGGUGCUUGCAGAGCAUGUAGACGAACUAGGACAAAGUGUUGGCACUAGCAUCUUUGCCAGCAAUCAAGAAAUUCAAAAUUAUGUCCCUUAGAUAUUGAUCAGUCAUUGUUUCAGGAUUCUUCACACUCUCGAUCAAAAACCUUGAAAGUAUGUCUUCUUUGACAUUCUUAAAUUCCCAAAAAAGAAAAAAUAAUCAACUUUUAGCAACAAAAAACAAGAACUCAUCUACUGUUACAAAGACUUGAAAAAUACAAGAGAACAUAACUACAUCGGAGUUACAGCCAAACACUAGUGGACAAUUACUAGAUUACUAAAAUUGUUUGGACAGAAAUUAGGUUGAUCUUAUUGUGAAUCCCUCCAUAGGAGAGUGAUAAUUAGAUAUCGACCAUAAGAUGAACUCUAAGGAAAUUUUAUAAUAACAAAAAUAAAAUAAGAUUCUGUUAGAUUAAUGUAUUGAGUCGCCCUAAAUUGAUAAUACAAGUUUCAUCUGGGCGCUGUAUGGUGUGGAAAAGGGUCGGUGCUGUCGGGAUGCUGGGCAAUUAGCCCUGUGUGGUAGGAGUUUCUGGAAAACAGACUAGUGAUUACUGUGUUUCCCAACUCCAUCCAAUAUGUAUCAUGUUCAUGCAUUAAUAAAGUAUUGAUUUAACAAAAAAUAUAUAUAUAUAACCACAAAUUUAAUUAGAGGAAAAUAUGACUCACACGAUCUGGGUAGCAGUUUCUUCUUGGUGCUUAUAACAUUGUGAAUAAAAUUAUCAAUGACUUUGAUAUUCUUCUUGAGGGAGGCUUCAGAGCCAAUAUUAAGAGCCCUUUUCAGCUUCCAAAAAGGAUCCAUAUAGCGCAUGUACACCAGCUCAUUGGCAUCAUCAAAAGCCUUCACAAAGGUAGUUCCUUCUUCACUUGACCCUUCCAUGCAAUUUAAAUCAAUUCCAAACCCAACUUUGAACAUCGAUUCCAUUGUGUAUUUCAUCAACAUGUCCUACACAACAAGAUUACUCCAUAACUUAAACACUCAAAAUUUGACCUUUUGCUCUCUGUUAAAAAAAAAAAUGAAAAAGAUCGAGUUACUCCCUUGGAAUUUCAUAGCCUGACCCAACCGCGUCAUCUCUGAAACAGCUCUAACCAGUUUGACAGCAUUUUUUCUGAAAACAGAGCUACUAAAAUCUCUAAGAACUCUCGUCGAGAACUCGAAGCUCGCAAGCUUACGCUGCUGCCGCCACUUGUCUCCAUCCACCGCAAAAAUCCCUUGUCCCCAAAGAUCUCUAACAAGUUCUUGGUGAUAUGCACCCUUUGCAUAUUUGUCAAAAUUUGUUUUCAAAAUGUGCUCUACGUUUCGCGUAUCGACGGUGAAGAUUAGACUAUACGCAAAAUCAAGUAACCUAAAAGUGGGCAGUUUUUUGGCAAUUUGGGUUUAGUAGUCGUAGAGAUAGUUAAGGUAUAAGAGCUGGUUGAAAACACUGCCCUUCACAGGGGCAUAGUUAGGAUCAUUGAUGGAUUUUCCAGUGAAGAUUCUGAUCAGGACAAAAGAAAGGAUCAGAAAAAGAAAGAGUAGUGGCAAUGAUAUCAACACGAAGAUGGUAGAUAAAAUCUCCAUUAUGAUUUUCUGAUGAAUACUCUGUAAGAAAGCUGUGAUCACAGCCACCUACUUAUUACUUGAAUCAAGGGAUUCCUUCAUUAUUAAAUAACACAGAAAAACCCAAUCCUCUACAUCACCAAUAUGUUGCCAAUGUUCAUGCAUACGUCAUUAAUUGUACCAAUCUGAUUUUUCUACGAUACAAUUAUUAGCCUCAUCGAACCAAAGUUGAUGUCACUUACCUCAAAGUUUUAAAUAAUACUGAUACUAUAUGAUUUUGGACAAAUAAUACCAACUGGAUAUAAUUUCUAACAAAGUACCAGCCACCAACUCCACUUAUAUCCAAUUGUUUUAAAACGAAUAAACAUUAUUUAGACGUCAAGAAAGGUUACGAAAAGAAACUUCCACUAUAAUGAAUUUUAGCUUUAAUUAUAUUUGUUUAGAUAAGGUAUCUUUUUCUAUAAUGAAAUCUUCAAUUAUAGAGUUGUUUAAUCUUUUAAUUGUAUUUUUUCACAGUUAAUAACAAUAUCAAAAGUACCAUCUCUGUUAGUAUAUACAACCUUUAUAGUUACAUUUUAUUUAUAACACUGUUAAAAAGUUUUGUAGUGCUGUCAAAUUUAUAAAAUUAAUAUAAAAAUUAUAAUCUUAAAUCGAAUUUAUUAUAGUGUUCUAGAAUCAGAAGAGUACAAAAGAUGGAAAUAUAUAUAUAUAUAUAACACGUAAAAACAUUGUCCUUAUUACAAGUUACAACAACAACAAUAUUGAAGGAAGGAGACAAAUAAAUGCAGGCAGAUAAACUCACGGGUUUUGGGCACGGAUCAGGUUGCUUCAUUUUAGCUUGGUUCUAGAUUCAGUGGUUGUAUAUGAUGUCUUAUUCAAUUCUAGUUUCAGAUUUAUGUUGGAAUAAGUUCAAAAGCCAAUCACAUAGAUUGUAGUGGGUAUUCUUUGUUAAUUAAUUUAUUAUAACAUUUUAUUAUGGAAUAAGAGAUAUUUCUUUAUCCAUAAAUUGCUUCAUAAUUAGCUACUUUAAUUUAUAAAGGCAAAGCCCUUGGAACAAAUGUACAAAGAAUUAUAAGUGAGUUAUAAUUAUAAGAUCCUUAUGCAUCAAAGUACUAUUCUGAAAUAGUUUAUAACCAUUGUAUUAUCAAAAUAGGACAUUGAUAAUACUCAAAGGCCAACACAUGUUAUGCUUCUUACUUGUAAAAUGAGCAACUAAUCUCAUAAGUUGAAAUAUAGAAAUACUUAGAUCUAACAUCUAGGUGCUUGUAUAGAAUGUAGGUUUAUUGAACAUGACUCACCAUGAGAAAUCUAUUUGAUAACACACUAAUGUUUAUGGAACACUUCUUAUGAAUCAGUCGUAUAAGUACUCCCAAGAUUUGAGAUGCCAAGUUAUUUUAUGUGUGGAGUACUAUACUUUGACUUCAUCUCUCUAGAUCCUAAAUAAGGAUAUUUAAAAAGGAUGAAUAUUGUGUAUAGUAUGAAGCACAUAAAAACAAAUGAGUGACCAAGAGUGGAAUAAUCACUCCAAGUGAUUUAAAAAAUAUAUUCUAUUUGUUUUUUUAUACAUACUAGUCAUAUGAAAUCUUUAGCCAAUGCAACUUAGAAAUUAGGAAAGGAGUUUCCUAAGUCUUAGACAAAACUAGUGGUGAAGCUUAAAAGAACCAAAAGAAAAGGAUAUGAGAGUAGACACUGUACCAUACUUUCGUUUCUUUUAAGAUAUAUAUGAUAAGAGAAUUAAUUAUACUAAUAAAUUGGACAUUAAAAGGUUGUCAAAGAACCUUUUACUCUCCUUACAAUUGGGUGAUCAUGAUAGGUUCCUAGAUCCCAUUUAUGGUCUAUAAUCAUAAAGUAGUUGAUAUGAUCAAUGAUAAAUUCAAAGUAGUUUGAAUUUAUCUAAUCAUAAAUUUAAUUGUAGAUUACAUUCUAAGAUCAUUGUCAACAUGUUAUGAACCUAAUGGAUCACACACAAUAAGUUGCAAUAAGAAUUAAAUUGAAAUUGUGAUGAUUUAAGUUGGACUUAAAUUAUACACUAAGUUUUAAUUUUCAAAGAUUUAAUUAAAAUUAGUUUAAUUAAGUAUAGGGUCAAUAUUAUAAGUAGUUAUAAUAUUGAGGCCUUCAAUAAAAACCAAAGCUAUCUUUUAAACUAGGUAUAAAAGCUCACUUUUCAUCCAUUCUUCACAAGUUGUUGAACAUACACAAAACCUAACUACUCUAGCCACCGACCCUUGUGAAAAUUCUUAGUGAAGAGAUUUUCUUGUGGCAUAAGGCAAAAAGUGAGUGAGGAGUGAAAAGGACAAUCGGUUGUCCACAUUGCUAGCACAUUGAUGUGGUUGAAAAAGAUUUUAUUGUAAUCGUGUGUGCAACCAUUGAAGGUCAAACAAUUGAGUGGCCCGGGUUCUCUUUUUUUUUUUGUGGUGUAUCGUGAGUUCAAAAAGGAGAAAAAAGAUGUCAUCGUGAUUACCAUAUCACUUAACUAGGUAAUAUUAUUUUCAAAAUAUUACUUUUGUUUGAUUGUGUUAAAACACCAAAAAAAUUCAAGGGAUACGACAUAAAAAAAUUCUGUUUUAUUUUAUUUUAUUUCAAUCUAUUUAUUUCAUUGCGUAUGUGCAAUUCGAUCACACUCUCAUGCCGUUUUUCUUACAAUAUAUAUGACCGACGUGCUAAACUUAAAGGAGGCAUCUCUUUGUACUAACACUUUGAAGUAUUUUGGCGUAAUCCAAUAUCUUACCUGCAUGCACAUGUUUCUUAGGUUAGUAACUGAAUUCAUUAUUGGCAAGAAUUGGCCUUUGACUGAAGAGAAAAUAAAGUGGAAAAAUGAAGGAAAAUUAAGUAGGUGGUAAGGAAAGCUGAAGGGAAUCGAAAUACAAUUGCUCAAAGAGAUCCUGGAGAGAAGAACAGAAUCGAAAAAGAAAUGAAAGUUUAAUGGGUUGCACUUUCUUUUUCCUUUUCAUUUCCAUUUUUCUGAAAGUUCAACGGAAGUAGACAUAUGCCUCACGGGCUUAACAGCAUUAUUUUCGGCUGAGAAAAAAGAACUAUGUAUAUAGGAACGUAGGCUAGAAUCUAGCUCGCCUGACCCUGCCCAUGAACUUCAAUGUUAGGCUUUGUGUACAUCAAUGAUCCAACCCUAAACUGAAAAGGCCCAACACACAAGCAAAAACAAAAGUUAUUUAUGGUCGGAGGUCUAUCUCCGCCAUGCCACCAUCAGUGUUGGGGCAUGGAGUUACGGCUCAACUGUUGGCCAGAAAUAGUAGAAAUAAAUAAAUAAUUUGUCCUAAAUGGGAAAAUUAAAGAAAGAUUAGAAUAGGGAAUUAGCCAACUAUCAAAAGUGGAGUAUGGGUUAAGGUUAGAAUCAGAAAUUAAUGCAUUGGAUUUGUUUUACCGAUCUUCAAUACAAGGUGACCCAAAGUUUCAUCUUCAACAUCAUUAGAAAAGCAAAUCCGAAGUCGACUUGAAACAAUCCAGUUGUUGUGCUGCACAAAACAAGAAAAGGAAAGUGGAAGUAAUGUUAUUGCAACCAGCAAGGGGUUGAACAUUUUUCCAACCGACAAGUUAUCAUGUUUCUGGGAAUUGGUUUAAGUUGUCCUAGGAACAGCACAAAGUUGAAGGCCUCCUCGUAUCUGAAGAGUGAAUGUUACUCUGUAUGUUGCAAUUUUUGUAUCAUCAGCUAAUUUGAAGCGGAAGUAGCGAAUAAGGGCAAUUGAGAAUAUCUUCAUCUGCCGGUACGCGAAUUCCUUGCCUAAACAAAUUCGAGG